AUUUUCUGCCACCGAAUACAUUAGCAUGGGAUAAUGGAAUAGGACCCUGUCCUCCUAUUUUCAGUUGGUUUUGGCAGCGCGAGGACUAGGGUAAUGAUUAAUAGGGAUAGUUGGGGGCAUUAAUAUUUAAUUGUCAGAGGUGAAAUUCUUGGAUUUAUGAAAGAUUAACUUCUGCGAAAGCAUCUGCCAAGGAUGUUUUCAUUAAUCAAGAACGAAAGUUAGGGGAUCGAAGACGAUCAGAUACCGUCGUAGUCUUAACCAUAAACGAUGCCGACCAGCGAUUAGGAGACGUUGAAUACAAAACACCACCAUCGGCGCGGCCGUCCUUGGCCGUGCGUCUCGUUUCGGCGAGGCGUUUGGCGGGGGCGGCUUAGCCCGGUGGCACCGGUGAAUGACUCCC
rnacentral:rRNA from 1 species